rnacentral:rRNA from 1 species
AAUCUGCCCUUGGGUUCGGAAUAACAGAGAGAAAUUUCUGCUAAUACCGGAUGAUGACGUAAGUCCAAAGAUUUAUCGCCCAAGGAUGAGCCCGCGUAGGAUUAGCUAGUUGGUGAGGUAAAGGCUCACCAAGGCGACGAUCCUUAGCUGGUCUGAGAGGAUGAUCAGCCACACUGGGACUGAGACACGGCCCAGACUCCUACGGGAGGCAGCAGUGGGGAAUAUUGGACAAUGGGCGAAAGCCUGAUCCAGCAAUGCCGCGUGAGUGAUGAAGGCCUUAGGGUUGUAAAGCUCUUUUACCCGGGAUGAUAAUGACAGUACCGGGAGAAUAAGCUCCGGCUAACUCCGUGCCAGCAGCCGCGGUAAUACGGAGGGAGCUAGCGUUAUUCGGAAUUACUGGGCGUAAAGCGCACGUAGGCGGCUUUGUAAGUUAGAGGUGAAAGCCUGGAGCUCAACUCCAGAAUUGCCUUUAAGACUGCAUCGCUUGAAUCCAGGAGAGGUGAGUGGAAUUCCGAGUGUAGAGGUGAAAUUCGUAGAUAUUCGGAAGAACACCAGUGGCGAAGGCGGCCCACUGGACUGGUAUUGACGCUGAGGUGCGAAAGCGUGGGGGGCAAACAGGAUUAGAUACCCUGGUAGUCCACGCCGUAAACGAUGAUAACUAGCUGUCGGGGCUCUUAGAGCUUCGGUGGCGCAGCUAACGCAUUAAGUUAUCCGCCUGGGGAGUACGGCCGCAAGGUUAAAACUCAAAUGAAUUGACGGGGGCCUGCACAAGCGGUGGAGCAUGUGGUUUAAUUCG